UACGGAGGGUGCAAGCGUUAUCCGGAUUCACUGGGUUUAAAGGGUGCGUAGGUGGGCAGUUAAGUCAGUGGUGAAAUCUCCGGGCUUAACCCGGAAACUGCCAUUGAUACUAUCUGUCUUGAAUGUCGUGGAGGUAAGCGGAAUAUGUCAUGUAGCGGUGAAAUGCUUAGAUAUGACAUAGAACACCAAUUGCGAAGGCAGCUUACUACACGGAUAUUGACACUGAGGCACGAAAGCGUUGGGGAUCAAAACAGGG
rnacentral:rRNA from 1 species